CACUGUGACAGACCUGACCAUG
rnacentral:misc_RNA from 1 species